CGCGGCCUAUCAGCUUGUUGGUGGGGUAACGGCUCACCAAGGCAUCGACGGGUAGCUGGUCUGAGAGGACGAUCAGCCACACUGGGACUGAGACACGGCCCAGACUCCUACGGGAGGCAGCAGUAGGGAAUCUUGCGCAAUGGGCGAAAGCCUGACGCAGCAACGCCGCGUGGGGGAUGAAUGCCUUCGGGUUGUAAACCCCUUUCAGCAGGGACGAAAUUGACGGUACCUGCAGAAGAAGGUCCGGCCAACUACGUGCCAGCAGCCGCGGUAAUACGUAGGGACCGAGCGUUGUCCGGAAUUAUUGGGCGUAAAGAGUUCGUAGGCGGUUCAGUAAGUCGGGUGUGAAAACUCAAGGCUCAACCUUGAGACGCCACUCGAUACUGCUGUGACUUGAGUCCGGUAGAGGAGUGUGGAAUUCCUGGUGUAGCGGUGAAAUGCGCAGAUAUCAGGAGGAACACCAGCGGCGAAGGCGGCACUCUGGGCCGGUACUGACGCUGAGGAGCGAAAGCAUGGGGAGCAAACAGGAUUAGAUACCCUGGUAGUCCAUGCCGUAAACGUUGGGCACUAGGUAUGGGAUCAUAUCAACGGAUUCCGUGCCGUAGCUAACGCAUUAAGUGCCCCGCCUGGGGAGUACGG
rnacentral:rRNA from 1 species